AGGUAAGCUACUAAGAGCGAAUGGUGGAUGCCUUGACUGGUAAAGGCGAUGAAGGACGUACUAGACUGCGAUAAGCUACGGGGAGCUGUCAAGAAGCUUUGAUCCGUAGAUUUCCGAAUGGGGCAACCCAAUGUAUAGAGAUAUACAUUACCUAUAUAGGAGCGAACGAGGGGAAUUGAAACAUCUUAGUACCCUCAGGAAAAGAAAUCAAUAGAGAUUGCGUCAGUAGCGGCGAGCGAAAGCGCAAGAGGGCAAACCCAGUGCUUGCACUGGGGGUUGUAGGACUGCAAUGUGCAAGAGGUAAGUUUAGCAGAACAUUCUGGAAAGUAUAGCCAUAGAGGGUGAUAGUCCCGUAUGCGAAAAACAAACCUUAGCUAGCAGUAUCCUGAGUAGGGCGGGACACGAGGAAUCCUGUCUGAAUCCGGGUCGACCACGAUCCAACCCUAAAUACUAAUACCAGAUCGAUAGUGCACAAGUACCGUGAGGGAAAGGUGAAAAGAACUGAGGUGAUCAGAGUGAAAUAGAACCUGAAACCAUUUGCUUACAAUCAUUCAGAGCCCUAUGUAGCAAUACAGGGUGAUGGACUGCCUUUUGCAUAAUGAGCCUGCGAGUUGUGGUGUCUGGCAAGGUUAAGCAAACGCGAAGCCGUAGCGAAAGCGAGUCUGAAUAGGGCGCUUAGUCAGAUGCUGCAGACCCGAAACGAAGUGAUCUAUCCAUGAGCAAGUUGAAGCUAGUGUAAGAACUAGUGGAGGACUGAACCCAUAGGCGUUGAAAAGCCCCGGGAUGACUUGUGGAUAGGGGUGAAAGGCCAAUCAAACUUCGUGAUAGCUGGUUCUCUCCGAAAUAUAUUUAGGUAUAGCGUUGUGUCGUAAUAUAAGGGGGUAGAGCACUGAAUGGGCUAGGGCAUACACCAAUGUACCAAACCCUAUCAAACUCCGAAUACCUUAUAUGUAAUCACAGCAGUCAGGCGGCGAGUGAUAAAAUCCGUCGUCAAGAGGGAAACAACCCAGACUACCAGCUAAGGUCCCUAAGUCUUACUUAAGUGGAAAACGAUGUGAAGUUACUUAAACAACCAGGAGGUUGGCUUAGAAGCAGCCAUCCUUUAAAGAAAGCGUAAUAGCUCACUGGUCUAGUGAUUUUGCGCGGAAAAUAUAACGGGGCUAAAGUAAGUACCGAAGCUGUAGACUUAGUUUACUAAGUGGUAGGAGAGCGUUCUAUUUGCGUCGAAGGUAUACCGGUAAGGAGUGCUGGAGCGAAUAGAAGUGAGCAUGCAGGCAUGAGUAGCGAUAAUUAAUGUGAGAAUCAUUAACGCCGUAAACCCAAGGUUUCCUACGCGAUGCUCGUCAUCGUAGGGUUAGUCGGGUCCUAAGUCGAGUCCGAAAGGGGUAGACGAUGGCAAAUUGGUUAAUAUUCCAAUACCAACAUUAGUGUGCGAUGGAAGGACGCUUAGGGCUAAGGGGGCUAGCGGAUGGAAGUGCUAGUCUAAGGUCGUAGGAGGUUAUACAGGCAAAUCCGUAUAACAAUACUCCGAGAACUGAAAGGCUUUUUGAAGUCUUCGGAUGGAUAGAAGAACCCCUGAUGCCGUCGAGCCAAGAAAAGUUUCUAAGUUUAGCUAAUGUUGCCCGUACCGUAAACCGACACAGGUGGGUGGGAUGAGUAUUCUAAGGCGCGUGGAAGAACUCUCUUUAAGGAACUCUGCAAAAUAGCACCGUAUCUUCGGUAUAAGGUGUGGUUAGCUUCGUACUAGGAUUUACUCCGAAAGCGAAGAAACUUACAACAAAGAGUC
rnacentral:rRNA from 1 species